AUCUCGCUGAAUUGGUGUGCUCCUUCACACAAAAUGUCUUGCCAACCCCAGUGAGACCCAGCAGCCCCUAGCACUGUUUUUGGGUCUUGUGCCUAUCAAGUCUCUGGUCAGCACUGUCAGAGGAGCAGAAGAAGGAGAAUCUCCAUGUUGGUGGACUCUGCGGUUGAGGAUUUGUUGCAGACUGGGAGACAUGCAUUCUGUUUGCAAGCUGACAAAGUCUGUUCUACAUUCUGCUCCCAGCUACGUGACCAGGUUGUCUCUGUGCUAGGAAAAGAAAGCCACAAAAAUCCGACUCAAGAGCAGCAUGUAGGCUCCGUGCUCAAAGAGUUGAUAAAAACUUUUGGAUGUUAGGCUUAACACCUUCUUCACCCCAGCGGUUUCAUGCCAGCGAUAUUUCAAAGUGAUUCAAGGGCUCUUUUUUCCAGUGAACAGUGCUUAAAAGAUAGCAGGCUGCAAUGAGGAUUGUAACAGUGCUGUAACUAUUCUCAGGAAACUAUCAUUUGGGAAAGUCCUGGGAGAUAUCUUGGAGCUGUUUUGUGUUGUUCCCCAGUAAGGAGCAGAAGACACCUGCCAUUUAGUUAAAUGCCUUAUCUUGGCCUAUUUGGGAACCUCGUUUCAGAUGAAAGUGUCUAUGCUAAUCAAACAAAAUACUAUCAAAAGUGGUCCAGAUGAGAGUGAUAGCUUUAAAAAAAGCACUUUAAAAUGCUUGCGAUUUAUAGUUUUGUGUUAAAUCAGCUUAGCAUUCAUGAAAUAAAAGUGUUGACUACUUGCUGACAUUUUGUGUUUUUCUGAAGAUGAAGCUCAAAUACGAGGGCAGUAUGGGCCC
rnacentral:lncRNA from 1 species